UGGGCUUAAAUUGCAAUUGACGGAGGCCGAAACGUCUCUUUCUUCGGACAAUUGUGAAGGUGCUGCAUGGUUGUCGUCAGCUCGUGCCGUGAGGUGUCGGCUUAAGUGCCAUAACGAGCGCAACCCUCAUUAUUAGUUACUAACAGGUUAAGCUGAGGACUCUAAUAAGACUGCCGUCGUAAGAUGUGAGGAAGGUGGGGAUGACGUCAAAUCAGCACGGCCCUUACGUCCAGGGCCACACACGUGUUACAAUGGGUGAAACAGAGGGCAGCUACCUAGCGAUAGGAUGCUAAUCCCAUAAAAUCACUCUCAGUUCGGAUUGAAGUCUGCAACUCGACUUCAUGAAGCUGGAUUCGCUAGUAAUCGCGCAUCAGCCACGGCGCGGUGAAUACGUUCCCGGGCC
rnacentral:rRNA from 1 species